UACGAAGGGGGCUAGCGUUGUUCGGAAUCACUGGGCGUAAAGCGCACGUAGGUGGACUUUCAAGUCAGGGGUGAAAUCCCGGGGCUCAACCUCGGAACUGCCUUUGAUACUGUUGGUCUUGAGUCCGGAAGAGGUGAGUGGAAUUCCUAGUGUAGAGGUGAAAUUCGUAGAUAUUAGGAAGAACACCGGUGGCGAAGGCGGCUCACUGGUCCGGUACUGACACUGAGGUGCGAAAGCGUGGGGAGCAAACAGG
rnacentral:rRNA from 1 species